CCCUUAGAUGUUCUGGGCCGCACGCGUGCUACACUGAGUGGAUCAGCGGGUCAGGUUGCGCGAAAGCGUUUCCUAAUCUUUAAAUCCGCUCGUGAUGGGGAUUGACGGUUGCAAUUUUCUGUCAUGAACGAGGAAUACCUUGUAAGCGCGAGUCAUAAGCUCGCGUUGAUUACGUCCCUGCCCUUUGUACACACCGCCCGUCGCUACUACCGAUUGAACGGUUUAGUGAGGGCCUCGGAUUGGUCUCGGCCCGCUCUUUACCGGGCGGCGCCGUUGGUCGAGAAGACGCUCGAACUUGAUCGUUUAGAGGAAGUAAAAGUCGUAACA
rnacentral:rRNA from 1 species